UAUCUCUCUGUACAGGGAAGGAUGAGAAGCUUCGAUUAAGGUUCGACUCGAGCGGAAGCGAGAGAACGUUGCCAACGGCAACGGCCCGAAGGGGAAGGAGCGGAGCGACGAAUAAUCCUUCUCCCACCACCA
rnacentral:sRNA from 5 species